rnacentral:lncRNA from 1 species
UCCAAAUCACCACUUUAUUAUGUGGCAGUCACAGUGCCAGCCCCUGCUUUUCCCAUGCCACCCUCCACUCAUCCAGGGGUCCACUGGCCUUUUUCACGUUUGAGUAUCAGACGUCAUGUUUGAGUAUCCUGCUCCCUUUUUUCUUGAGUGUAGAGCUGGGCUUAUAAUAAUUUGAGUCUAAAAAACUGAUAUGUCUCUUAAUUGGUGAUAGUGAGGAACACUACCGCACUUGAGCUCCCAGAACAGGGGAAAGACAGGGAGGCUGGAGUCCAGAGGCUGCCCCAAGGUCAUGUGGGGGUAGGGGAUGUAGGGGCAGAGCCCCUGUUCAUCUUUCACUCUGCAAACUGGUCCAAGAACUUGAGGUAGACCUGGCGCUGGGCUGCAGCUGCUGGAAUGAAAUGGCCACCAGAGUGGGUGAGGUUGAUGGCUCCAGUGAAUCGGCUAGCCAGUUGCAUACUUUCCUGAGGGGGGAUGACACAGUCAGUGUCCCCGAAAACAUGGAGGGAAGGCAGCGACAAGGGGCCCUGCAGGAUGGGU